CUGCAGGCUGUACAAGAAUGGCUCCAGCAUCUGCUUCUGGCAAGAGACUGAGGCUGCUUCCACUCAUGGCAGAAGGUGAAGGGGAGCCUGCACCUGCAGAUCUCACGGACAAAAUAUGAAACACCAAGAAAAAGAAAGAGAAGGAAAAAAAGGAGGAAACAGCCACAUAUGUCACCUUUCCAAGAGGGGCUGAAACCGGGCUGACCCUUUUGAUUUCCAAACUCAGCCUUUUGGUGUAAGGCGGCCAAAGAAGGAUGCAGAGCCCAGCACUGUGAAGCCUACAAAAACACUGAUGCGCUGGCUUGGGGAUUUGAAUUUGAACGUCUUUCAUACCAAGUUCAGACUCAUGAAACCAAUCUUCAGAUGCUCUGUAAACCACAUAAUAAAGAGUUUGGAAAUUAUA